rnacentral:rRNA from 1 species
GGGGCAUUCGGCGGCUAUACAUGCAGUCGACGGGAUCCGGUGGAGAGCUUGCUCGAAGCUGGUGAGAGUGGCGCACGGGUGCGUAACGCGUGAGCAACCUACCCUUGUCAGGGGGAUAGCCCGGCGAAAGUCGGAUUAACACCGCAUGACAUUGCGAUGUGGCAUCACAUUGCAAUCAAAUAUUUAUAGGACAAGGAUGGGCUCGCGUGACAUUAGCUAGUUGGUAAGGUAACGGCUUACCUAGGCUACGAUGUCUAGGGGCUCUGAGAGGAGAAUCCCCCACACUGGUACUGAGACACGGACCAGACUCCUACGGGAGGCAGCAGUAAGGAAUAUUGGUCAAUGGACGCAAGUCUGAACCAGCCAUGCCGCGUGCAGGGAGACUGCCCUAUGGGUUGUAAACUGCUUUUGUACGGGAACAAACCCCUCUACGUGUAGAGGGCUGAGUGUACCGUAAGAAUAAGGAUCGGCUAACUCCGUGCCAGCAGCCGCGGUAA